rnacentral:rRNA from 1 species
CCUACGGGAGGCAGCAGUGAGGAAUAUUGGUCAAUGGGCUUACGCCUGAACCAGCCAAGUCGCGUGAGGGAAGACUGCCCUAUGGGUUGUAAACCUCUUUUGUCAGGGAGCAACGCCGGCUACGUGUAGCCGGACUGAGAGUACCUGAAGAAAAAGCAUCGGCUAACUCCGUGCCAGCAGCCGCGGUAAUACGGAGGAUGCGAGCGUUAUCCGGAUUUAUGGGGUUAAAAGGGUGCGUAGGCGGAAUGCCAAGUCAGCGGUAAAAUCGCGGGGCUCAACCUCGCUCCGCCGUUGAAACUGGCGUUCUUGAGUGGGCGAGAAGUAUGCGGAAUGCGUGGUGUAGCGGUGAAAUGCAUAGAUAUCACGCAGAACACCGAUUGCGAAGGCAGCAUACCGGCGCCCAACUGACGCUGAAGCACGAAAGCGUGGGUAUCGAACAGGAUUAGAUACCCUGGUAGUC